CAGUAGCCACGGGAAUACGGAGGGAGCUAGCGUUGUUCGGAAUUACUGGGCGUAAAGCGCACGUAGGCGGCUUUGUAAGUCAGAGGUGAAAGCCUGGAGCUCAACUCCAGAACUGCCUUUGAGACUGCACCGCUUGAAUCCAGGAGAGGUGAGUGGAAUUCCGAGUGUAGAGGUGAAAUUCGUAGAUAUUCGGAGGAACACCAGUGGCGAAGGCGGCUCACUGGUCCAUUACUGACGCUGAGGUGCGAAAGCGUGGGGAGCAAACAGGAUUAGAUACCCGCGUAGUCCCUGUCUCUUAUAC
rnacentral:rRNA from 1 species